GAUGAAGAACGUAGCGAAAUGCGAUAAGUAAUGUGAAUUGCAGAAUUCCGUGAAUCAUCGAAUCUUUGAACGCACAUUGCGCCCGCCAGUAUUCUGGCGGGCAUGCCUGUCUGAGCGUCAUUUCAACCCUCAUGCCCCUAGGGCGUGGUGUUGGGGAUCGGCCAAAGCCCGCGAGGGACGGCCGGCCCCUAAAUCUAGUGGCGGACCCGUCGUGGCCUCCUCUGCGAAGUAGUGAUAUUCCGCAUCGGAGAGCGAUGAGCCCCUGCCGUUAAACCCCCAACUUUCCAAGGUUGACCUCAGAUCAGGUAGGAAUACCCGCUGAACUUAAGCAUAUCAAUAAGCGGAGGA
rnacentral:misc_RNA from 1 species